UCCUCCACCAAGGCGCUCAAGUCCUGCGAGGAGCUGCUGCCGCCCGAGGAGCUCGGCAUUGUCGCCCGCUGCAUGGACGCCAUUGCCGCGCGCUCGUCGGCGACGUCGCGCUCCUGGUUCGGCGACCUGGCCGUGCUCGGUCCGCACAUGUACAAGCGGGUGAUGGUGGCCAUGGCCGCAAAGGACGUGAUGACGGAGGCUUUGGAGGGCUGCCUCGUGUCCUACGCCAAGGCCACCCUCCCGGGGCUGUCGAGGUCCAUGAGGUGGCGCCGCGCGUCCGCGCCGGUCUCGUCGGAGGUGGAGCAGAGAGACCUCCUGGAGGCGGUGGUCGCGAGCCUCCCCGCGGACAAGGGCUCGGGGAGCAUGGUGACCGCGAAAUUCCUGGUCGCGCUGCUGCGGACGGUGCACAUCCUGCGCGCUUCCGACGCGGCGCGCGCGGCGAUCGAGCGGAAGGCCGCGACGCAGCUGGAACAGGCAACGGUGGAGGACGUGCUCAUCCCGAGCUACUCCGGCGCCACGGAGACGCUCUACGACGUGGACUACGUCGAGCGGGUGCUCAGGCACUUCCUGGUCGAGGAGGAGGUGGGCGAGGACGAGGCGUCGUUGUCAGCUGCAAUCACCGAGGAGGAAGCGGCGGCAAGGACGAUGGCGUCACGUCCGUUGACCGUGGCAAUGGUGCAGGUGGGCAAGCUGGUGGACAACUACCUGGCAGAGGUAGCGUCCGACGCCAACCUGAAGCCAACCAAAUUCUGCGAGCUCGCGCUGGCAAUGCCGGACCACGCCCGCAUCUACGACGAUGGCGUCUACCGCGCCGUCGACAUCUACCUCAAGGCGUAUCCGCGGCUGACGGCGGAGGAGCGGGACAGGGUGUGCGGCGUGGUGGACUUCAGGAAGCUGACGGUGGAGGCAUGCACGCACGCGGCGCAGAACGAGCGGCUCCCGCUGCGCGCGGUGCUACAGGUGCUCUUCUUCGAGCAGCUGCAGCUCCGAUGCGCCAUCAUGGGCACACUGAUACGGCCAGUGGCGGCGGUGCGUCACGCCGCUGGCCCGAGCGAGGCGUGGCAGACGACAACGAUGCAGGAGAGCCAAACGCUGCGGGUGGACAUGGACGACAUGAUGAGCCGGGUGCAGGGCCUGGAGAGGGAGUGCUCCAGCAUGCGAAGGGCGAUCAAGAAGAUCGACGGCAGUGGCGCCGCGUCGCAAGGCAGCGGCAGCCCAGACGUGGCCGCCCCGGCAGGCUGGCGGUCCAGGUACCGGUGCAAGUUCAGCACGCAGGUGUGCGACUCGCAGGCGCGCAACGCGGUCGUGUCCAGGGCGUCCAGGAUGGGGAUGAGCCUAGGAUGGGUGUCCAGGGCGUCCAAGCCGUCCAUUGAUAAAAGGAAAUGA
rnacentral:rRNA from 1 species